UUAAAUUGAAGAGUUUGAUCAUGGCUCAGAUUGAACGCUGGCGGCAGGCCUAACACAUGCAAGUCGAGCGGUAGCACAGAGAGCUUGCUCUCGGGUGACGAGCGGCGGACGGGUGAGUAAUGUCUGGGAAACUGCCUGAUGGAGGGGGAUAACUACUGGAAACGGUAGCUAAUACCGCAUAACGUCGCAAGACCAAAGUGGGGGACCUUCGGGCCUCAUGCCAUCAGAUGUGCCCAGAUGGGAUUAGCUAGUAGGUGGGGUAAUGGCUCACCUAGGCGACGAUCCCUAGCUGGUCUGAGAGGAUGACCAGCCACACUGGAACUGAGACACGGUCCAGACUCCUACGGGAG
rnacentral:rRNA from 1 species